UGAACUUUUACAGUAUGUUCAUUAUUCUUCUCCCUGUGAUACUUGACUCAUCUGAAAACAAUUUCUGUCUCCAGUCUGUCAUCUAGGCAGAGAAAAACUUGGCCACCAAGUGAUGACAACAUGCAGCAGGUUUGAAAGUCCUGAAACUUAUGUUUGUUCACCAAUGAAUCUGAAAAAAAAGCAUGUCUGUUGUCAUUUUUAACAAACACAUUCAUCUGUGAACAACGUCUGUCACAGCUGAAAAACUCUGCACCAGUUUUUAUGAAUAUCGUGACAAUGGAAACUCCUUUUUGAAAGUAAAUCAACUUUUAAAGCAGAAGCCAACUUCAUGUCAGCUUGUUUUUAGUGUCCGUGCAAAGGAGUUGGAUGGAAACUUGGAUGAAGCUCCUUUACCAAGACCAAAUUCAACAUCCAAGACAUCCAAUACAGCUAUGAAAAAAGCCACUUACAAGUUCUGAUACAUCCAAGCAGGAAAUGGUGCAUCUGCCAGCCAAGCAGCAUGGAAAAAGUUCAAUAUUCAUCAUUAUUAUUUGACCUUUGCUGUGACAAUCUCUCUUGUUGUUUGCUUAGCCCUGUUGUGUUUACUUGGAUCAGCUGCUUGUUCUGUUUGACGGUUCAGUUAUCGGUUAAUCUAUCAUACAAUUACGAGUCCGUGGUUAAGUGCUCUUGGGAUUGUGAGUUGCAUCCUCGCCUUUAAGCCUAAAGGAGAAAAAAAAUUUGGGAGCAACACAAAGAAUUUAGAACCAACAGUCCGUCAUGAAACGAGUCAGAUGGCUUCUAUCAGCGCCACAGAGAGCUUAUUAACUUUGGAAAUACUGUAUUUCAAAUAUCUCCCAGCUUAGACCUGGCCCAAACAAUGCCAGCAUUGCACAUUUUAUCAUAUUUUUAUCUGUAACAGAAAGCAAGACUCUCACAACAAUAUGUCAACUCGACUCAAAUUCAUGUCUUGGAUUUGAAAAAUAUUUACAGCCAGUCUCCCUGUGAAGCUGGCACAGCCAUGUUUUCAACUAAGAGCCAAAGUUGACAUUAAACUUGCUCACAGUGACGGUGGAUAAGUUAAUGCUAAGAGGGUGACACUGAUGUUUGUGUUUACUGUGAUAGCAUCCCUGCAGUCAUGGUGAGCAUGACAGAGUCAACAUAAACACAAUGGAAAGGAGUUCUGCACUGGCAUUAGCAGAGGCUCAGACCUAGCAGGGCUUGACUCUAACUUUCUUCACAAGGAGCGCAUGUGCUCUUAAGUUGAAAAAGUAAGGAGCACACAAAGAACUUUAGCAGCACAUGAAAAUUGAUCAAAUACUGUUUGUCUUAUUGGUCGACAGAAGUUCUAUUAUUCGAAAACAAUUAUAAGUCUUUUGGCCACAUGUCAUGGAAGCUACUAAAGAAAAUGUUUAAAAUUUGCCUUUAAAUUUAACACAAAAAAUGUAUGAGGACAAAUUAGGGAAAUAAAGAGGUGUGUCUUAUUGGUCAACAUAAGUAUUAUUAUUUAAAAUCAAUUUUAGGUCAAUUUGUCACAUGACAUGGAAGCUAUUGAAGGAAAACAACCUUUUCAGUGAACAUCAACCAGUAAUUUAUUGAUGGUCCCUUAUUCAACACCCGACGUUGACAGCGAGACUGCCAAGUAGAUUCAACCAUGUUGCUGUUGCUAUUCCCAGUUGUUGAAAGUGCACACUGGUAGAUCCUCAGUGAAUGUCCGUCACAUAUCCAACCUAAAACUAACUUCACUGCGGUAUUCACAUGAAAAAACAAUUGUUGCCUUGGCUGAUUUUUUUUAUGCGCACAUGGGCCCCUAAAUACAUUUUUUCAAUUCGCACACAUCUAUUUUUAGUUGCAAAUGCAAGUGAAACGGUCGCACUGUUGAGCCCUGCCUAAGAACUGUGACCUUGAAUAUAUGAGCCUGAGGAGCUUCUGCCCUGCUUGAUAUCAGCCCGUUGUGUUGAGGCAACAGUAACAAUGACAAUCAUGGUAGUGUUUAAGAAUUAAACAAUUUUUUACUGAGACCACUGCCAGUGCACCGUGUUGAAAAUGCUGAACUGCGUUGGCCUUAAUCAGAAAGUCACAGCUAGCUGAGCGCUGUUAGUGGACACAGGCCCUAAGGCUAAAACUAUCUCAAUAAUUGUGUUUUUCACAGAGGUGGGUAAAAAAUUUUUUUUUUUCUUUUUUCUUUUUCUCCCCAGAUGCCAUAAAACUUGCAGACAUCACUGACAUAAUGAUUUGCAGAGGUCAACAUGGAGCUUCUGUGUCUGAGACAAAUUUUCACAGUGUGUUUGGAAAUCAACAAAACACUUUCUUCGAUCAAAUCCAGACUGUGUUGGGAGACUUUCACCACGGUCCUUUGGAAAACAUGCACAGUGACCAACCAUCUGAUGGUUGUCAAAUUCAAAAUGAUUCAAGAUGACAUGUUUAUUUGGAACCACAGUGGGAAUCUUUAAUCGG
rnacentral:lncRNA from 1 species